GACGAACGCUGGCGGCGUGCUUAACACAUGCAAGUCGAACGGAAAGGCCCUGCUUUUGUGGGGUGCUCGAGUGGCGAACGGGUGAGUAACACGUGAGUAACCUGCCCUUGACUUUGGGAUAACUUCAGGAAACUGGGGCUAAUACCGGAUAGGAGCUCCUGCUGCAUGGUGUGGGUUGGAAAGUUUCGGCGGUUGGGGAUGGACUCGCGGCUUAUCAGCUUGUUGGUGGGGUAGUGGCUUACCAAGGCUUUGACGGGUAGCCGGCCUGAGAGGGUGACCGGCCACAUUGGGACUGAGAUACGGCCCAGACGCCUACGGGAGGCAGCAGUGGGGAAUAUUGCACAAUGGGCGGAAGCCUGAUGCAGCAACGCCGCGUGCGGGAUGACGGCCUUCGGGUUGUAAACCGCUUUCGCCUGUGACGAAGCGUGAGUGACGGUAAUGGGUAAAGAAGCACCGGCUAACUACGUG
rnacentral:rRNA from 1 species